rnacentral:rRNA from 1 species
AUUGAACGCUGGCGGCAUGCCUUACACAUGCAAGUCGAACGGCAGCACGGGGGCAACCCUGGUGGCGAGUGGCGAACGGGUGAGUAAUGCAUCGGAACGUGCCCAGUAGUGGGGGAUAACCCGGCGAAAGCCGGGCUAAUACCGCAUACGACCCAAGGGUGAAAGCGGGGGACCGUAAGGCCUCGCGCUAUUGGAGCGGCCGAUGUCUGAUUAGCUAGUUGGCGGGGUAAGAGCCCACCAAGGCGACGAUCAGUAGCUGGUCUGAGAGGACGACCAGCCACACUGGGACUGAGACACGGCCCAGACUCCUACGGGAGGCAGCAGUGGGGAAUUUUGGACAAUGGGCGCAAGCCUGAUCCAGCCAUGCCGCGUGCGGGAAGAAGGCCUUCGGGUUGUAAACCGCUUUUGGCAGGAACGAAACGGCGCAAGCCAAUACCUUGCGCUAAUGACGGUACCUGCAGAAUAAGCACCGGCUAACUACGUGCCAGCCGCCGCGGUAACAC